CGGGGCGUCAGAGAGGGUGAGAAUCCCGUAUGGGCCCGGCGGCCCUGCCCGUGUGAAACCCCUUCGACGAGUCGAGUUGUUUGGGAAUGCAGCUCUAAAUGGGUGGUAAAUUUCAUCUAAAGCUAAAUACCGGCCAGAGACCGAUAGCGCACAAGUAGAGUGAUCGAAAGAUGAAAAGCACUUUGGAAAGAGAGUCAAACAGUACGUGAAAUUGUUGAAAGGGAAGCGCUUGCGACCAGACCUGCGCGCGGGCGAUCAGCCGUCCUUCUGGGCGGUGCACUCGCCCGCGGGCAGGCCAGCAUCGGUUUCGGCGGCCGGACAAAGGCCUUGGGAAUGUAGCUCCUCUCGGGGAGCCUUAUAGCCCUCGGCGGAACGCGGCCAGCCGGGACCGAGGACCGCGCUUCGGCUAGGAUGCUGGCGUAAUGGUCGCAAGCGGCCCGUCUUGAAACACGGACCAAGGAGUCUAACAUCUAUGCGAGUGUUUGGGCGUCAAACCCAUGCGCGCAAUGAAAGUGAACGGAGGUGGGAGCCCGCUCGGGCGCACCAUCGACCGAUCCUGAUGUCUUCGGAUGGAUUUGAGUACGAGCAUAGCUGUUGGGACCCGAAAGAUGGUGAACUAUGCCUGAAUAGGGUGAAGCCAGAGGAAACUCUGGUGGAGGCUCGCAGCGGUUCUGACGUGCAAAUCGAUCGUCAAAUUUGGGUAUA
rnacentral:rRNA from 1 species